rnacentral:rRNA from 1 species
UACGAAGGGGCUAGCGUUGCUCGGAAUCACUGGGCGUAAAAGGGUGCGUAGGCGGGUCUUUAAGUCAGGGGUGAAAUCCUGGAGCUCAACUCCAGAACUGCCUUUGAUACUGAAGAUCUUGAGUUCGGGAGAGGUGAGUGGAACUGCGAGUGUAGAGGUGAAAUUGUAGAUAUUCGCAAGAACACCAGUGGCGAAGGCGGCUCACUGGCCCGAUACUGACGCUGAGGCACGAAAAGCGUGGGGAGCAAACAGGG